rnacentral:rRNA from 2 species
GAAGGCUUUCGGGUCGUAAAACUCUGUUGUUAGGGAAGAACAAGUACGAGAGUAACUGCUCGUACCUUGACGGUACCUAACCAGAAAGCCACGGCUAACUACGUGCCAGCAGCCGCGGUAAUACGUAGGUGGCAAGCGUUAUCCGGAAUUAUUGGGCGUAAAGCGCGCGCAGGCGGUUUCUUAAGUCUGAUGUGAAAGCCCACGGCUCAACCGUGGAGGGUCAUUGGAAACUGGGGAACUUGAGUGCAGAAGAGAAAAGCGGAAUUCCACGUGUAGCGGUGAAAUGCGUAGAGAUGUGGAGGAACACCAGUGGCGAAGGCGGCUUUUUGGUCUGUAACUGACGCUGAGGCGCGAAAGCGU